rnacentral:rRNA from 1 species
GCUUGUCUCAAAGAUUAAGCCAUGCAUGUCUCAGUAUAAGCUUUUACACGGCGAAACUGCGAAUGGCUCAUUAAAACAGUUAUCGUUUCUUUGGUGGUUAUUGAUUACAUGGAUAACCGUGGUAAUUCUAGAGCUAAUACAUGCAUGAACCCCCGACUUUUGAAGGGGUGUAUUUAUUAGAUUGAAACCAAUGCGGGUUCCCCGGUAUUUGGUGAUUCAUAAUAACUUUCGGAUCGACUUCGGUCGAUGCAUCAUUCAAGUUUCUGCCCUAUCAGCUUUGGAUGGUAGGGUAUUGGCCUACCAUGGCUUUAACGGGUAACGGAGAAUUAGGGUUCGAUUCCGGAGAGGGAGCCUGAGAAAUGGCUACCACAUCCAAGGAAGGCAGCAGG